rnacentral:rRNA from 1 species
GACUUGUGUGCGCCGGAUGCGGCGAUCUGCGGCCAAAAGGUCGUUGCGAUCAGCCCGUCCUGGCGCCGUAAAAUUUGCAACUGAGUCGCCUCUGGUCUUAAUUGGUCGGUGGCGUCUGCUCGGUUGCUCGUUUACUGUGAGAAAAUUGGAGUGUUCAAGGCAGGCGUGGAUUGCAACUGAACAUGUUAGCAUGGAAUAAUAAUUUAGGACUUUGUUUCUAUUUUGUUGGUUUCUAGAGGCGAAGUAAUGAUUGAUAGGGAUAGUUGGGGGUGCUAGUAUUCAGCGGCCAGAGGUGAAAUUCUUGGAUUCGCUGAAGACUAACUUAUGCGAAAGCAUU